GUGGGUGUAGCUCAAUGGUAGAGCACAUGACUGUGGCUCAUGUGGUUGCGGGUUCAAAUNNUGGUAGAGCACAUGACUGUGGCUCAUGUGGUUGCGGGUUCGAAUCCCGUCAUCCACCCCA
rnacentral:tRNA from 1 species